rnacentral:rRNA from 1 species
CCUACGGGUGGCAGCAGUGAGGAAUAUUGGUCAAUGGGCGCGAGCCUGAACCAGCCAAGUCGCGUGAAGGAAGACGGCCCUACGGGUUGUAAACUUCUUUUGUCGGGGAGUAAAGCGAGUCACGUGUGACUUUUUGAGAGUACCCGAUGAAUAAGCAUCGGCUAACUCCGUGCCAGCAGCCGCGGUAAUACGGAGGAUGCGAGCGUUAUCCGGAUUUAUUGGGUUUAAAGGGAGCGUAGACGGUUUGAUAAGUUAGAUGUGAAAGUCCGAGGCUCAACUGUGGAAUUGCCUUUGAUACUGUUAGGCUUGAGAGUAGUUGCGGUAGGCGGAAUGUAUGGUGUAGCGGUGAAAUGCUUAGAGAUCACACAGAACACCGAUUGCGAAGGCAGCCUACCAAGCUGCCACUGACGUUGAGGCACGAAAGCGUGGGUAUCAAACAGGAUUAGAUACCCCUGUAGUU